rnacentral:rRNA from 1 species
GAUGAACGCUGGCGGCGUGCUUAACACAUGCAAGUCGAACGAUGAACUCCAGCUUGCUGGGGGGAUUAGUGGCGAACGGGUGAGUAACACGUGGGUGACCUACCUUCAAGUGGGGGAUAACGUUCCGAAAGGAACGCUAAUACCGCAUAUUGUCCCGUCUUUAGACAGACGACGAUGAAAGCCGGGGAUCGCAAGACCUG